rnacentral:rRNA from 1 species
CAGUAGCCGCGGUAAUACGAAGGGGGCUAGCGUUGCUCGGAAUCACUGGGCGUAAAGGGUGCGUGGGCGGGUUUUUAAGUCAGGGGUGAAAACCUGCGGCUCAACCGCAGGCCUGCCUUUGAAACUGUAAGGCUGGAGUACCGGAGAGGUGGACGGAACUGCACGAGUAGAGGUGAAAUUCGUAGAUAUGUGCAGGAAUGCCGAUGAUGAAGAUAGUCCACUGGACGGAAACUGACGCUGAAGUGCGAAAGCCGGGGGAGCGAACAGGAUUAGAUACCCCCGUAGUCCCUGUCUCUUAUAC